CUUGAAGUACUAUUUCAAACCAAACACAUGCGUUCUCAAUUCCUAACGCCUCAAAUUUCAAUUACAGUGGCACUCAAGGCAGAGAAAAAAAUCAACAAAAGGAGAAGAAAUUUACUAGUGAAGAUGAUCUAAAGGUAGAAAGCUUUCUUUUCCCACUUUUUCAUCUACAUAUGUGUUUAGGACAAGGAGUGGUUUGUAUAGCAGGUCGUGGUUACAAAAGAACUUGGAGCAAUGAAACAAGUAAAAUUAUUGAUUUAUGCUGGUAAUAAUCUUCACCAAUUCAGUACAUUUCUUAUGGUUUCAUUUCUCUAAUCCCUUUUUUUCAUUACUUAUCUUCUUCUUUUGUUUGGUCAAGGUUAUAAGUAGGAGAUUGAGUAUCUAAAUGUAAAAUUGUAAAUAAUGUUUUAUCAUUGAAGUAUUCAUCGUUUUAUGUCUUUUUUUUUGGUAACUGUUCCUUAUCUUUUCACUUUCUUUUUUUCUGAUGUCUUUUUUUUGUUGGUAACUGUUCCUUCUCUUUUCACUUUCUUCUUUUCUGAUGUCUUCUAUUUCUUCUUCUUUGUUUUUUUUAUUAUAGAGUAACAUAAUCGAAGAAACUAUUCCAAUUUUAUAUUCAUGAAACAUUUUGAGACAAAGUAUGUUGCUUCAAAUGUUUUCUUAUAGGCAUUUUGCUAUUUUUUGUGCCGAGUUUUCGGAUACACAUGGAGCAAACAUGCAAUUAAAAGUUAAUUUUAUGUUAUUUUAUUAUGUUUUCUUUUAGUUUUUGUAAGUUAAAUUGACUUCGUCUCUAUUCAAUAUCAAAGUGAAAAGCUAGCUUUCUACUUUUAUAGUGAUUCGAUCGUGUUGACUUGAUUUUGUAGGGAUAAAAUUAAUCCUAUUAUUUAUGCCUUUUUUUAAAUGCAUUUUUUUGGGUUCUUUAUCGUCUGAUAGAUCUUGAUUAAUGUAUAUAAUUAAUCUCCUAGCAUGUUUAAAAGGUGAAUUGAUAUUUUCUACUAAAAAAUAAAGUGUGGGUUAAAGAUUAUUAUCUUGUUAUCAUAAAAUUUUGUAAUAUGUACAUAAUUAUCCAACUCUACUUUCUUUAUCCUGUUGUGCUAUAGUUUAUUAUCUAAAUUAAUUGACAUCUAUGUAUUAUGAGAAUCCAAUUUGAGUUUUUAAUUUCUUUAACAUUUCAUAUAUGCUAUUAUACUGCUUAACGAUAAAAAUGAUGCAUAAUUCAUUUUAGCAAUUUUUAUUUAUUUAUAUAGCUUAACUAAUAAUUGAUAUUUCUUUGCUUGAUUAACUUAUGCUUUCUUGAUUUUCCUUGAAAAACUAUAUUCAUGUAUGAAAUAUUUCCUUACUGAUUCUGAGAGUCCUUUAUUCUGAUACCUUUUUUAAUUAAUCAUGAUUUAUCUUAUACCACCAAAGUGUGUUUCUACAUUCCUUCACAAUAACGAUUAAUUGAGUAGUAAUUCCUUAGUAUAAAGAAAUAAUAAAUAAUUAAAAAAAUCUAAGAAAAAUAGUUUUUACUGUAUGUGUGAGUACGUCACAAUAAUAUAUGUUAAAUCACAAUCUUAAAAGGUACAAUAAUAUAUUUUGUAAAAAUAUUCAAUACUAAGGCUUUAAGUUUAACUAAAUAUGGGGUACAUUGGUUACUCAAUAAAUUCUUUUUUUUUAAGAUUAUGAAUUUAUGAUUUUACUUUUCUCUUUAAAAUUCAUAUUCAAGAGAAUUUCGUGCAUUAUAAAAUACUUUUAAACCUUAGGACAAAGUUAAUAAAAUUCUAAUAUAACUUUGAAGUGAAAUAACAAUUUUUUUUUAUAAAAACCCUAAUAUAAAAUUGAAGUGGAAUAACAAAAGAAAAAUUUGAGUUUAAGUAAAAAGAUAAAAUUUUGUAAUAGAUGUGAAAGUGUUUAGCUUCAAUUUUAAAUAACUACUUCUAACAAAUUGGAUUAGGCUGAAGUCUUCUUCCUAGCUAUAUUUGAUUGUAUCAUUUCUAUUAUGCAUAAAAAACUUAUCAAUUUUAAUUCAUCCGAGGACAUGCUAUAAUCUUUAAAUUCAAAUCCCUAUUUAUAAUAUGUAUCUUCGCUAUAGCUAAAUAAUUAUGUCAUGGCUUAAUCAGAUGCUAAUUACACAAGUGUGAAGAUAUUGUCAUUUUAUAUCAUGUCUGGUAUGAGUCCUGAAGAUAGUGUUUGGGUGCCAAUUAAAGUGAUUGGUCCAUUAAAUACUACAAGACUUUACACUAAAUAUUUUAUAAAACCAUCAAACUUGGCUUUCUACUAAUUAUUCUCUUUAUUGUUUUGAUAAGAGUCAGGAACAAGUAGUUUAAAAUAACGAAAUGAAUACUUUCAAGAUCUUUAGAAACACAGUAAAGAUUGUCUUGGCGGGUAAUAAGAUAGAGAAUUCAUAGAACUUACUUUCAGUCAGAAGAUGAUAUAAGCAACAAAGAAUUGGCUUAGACAACUUGAGUUUGGGAUCAUUAAUACUUUUAUUUUAUUUUGAUUAACAUCAAAUAUUUCUAAUUUGACUUAUCGUUCUCUAUUUUUAUACUAUGCAGCCUGAUACUCAUCUAGACCAGAAAGAAAAGUACAUUUCGUAUACUGAAUUUGUUAACCAAGAGCUUAUUCUGUUUUCAGUGGCUGAUAUUCAAAGGAUUAUUCCAUCAAUGCUUGACGGUUGAAAACUGAAUCGAAGGAAGAUUUUGUCUUGUGCCUUUAAGAACUUUGUUAAUUUGUACAAACAUAUUGUGUAGUAAAAAUGGCCUUUUACAAAUGGUACUAAUAAAUUUGUGAGAACCAGAAUAUGGCCAAUCAUCCAAUAUUGCAUUUUAUUAUGAAUGAUUUCCUCCCUACCUAUUUUCUAAUGGAUACAUAUGUUUUCUUAUUACUUCAAUGUAUGAAUAUCCAGUGGAUUUAUAUGUUUAUACAAUAAUAGCAUUUGAAA
rnacentral:lncRNA from 1 species